rnacentral:rRNA from 1 species
AGUGAUGUAUGAGUUAGUGGCGGACGGGUGAGUAACGCGUGGAGAACCUGCCGUAUACUGGGGGAUAACACUUAGAAAUAGGUGCUAAUACCGCAUAAGCGCACAGCUUCGCAUGAAGCAGUGUGAAAAACUCCGGUGGUAUACGAUGGAUCCGCGUCUGAUUAGCUGGUUGGCGGGGUAACAGCCCACCAAGGCGACGAUCAGUAGCCGGCCUGAGAGGGUGAACGGCCACAUUGGGACUGAGACACGGCCCAAACUCCUACGGGAGGCAGCGGUGGGGAAUAUUGCACAAUGGGGGAAACCCUGAUGCAGCGACGCCGCGUGAGUGAAGAAGUAUUUCGGUAUGUAAAGCUCUAUCAGCAGGGAAGGAAUACUGACCUUACGGUCAGCAGACGGUACCUGACUAAGAAGCCCCGGCUAACUACGUGCCAGCAGCCGCGGUAAUACGUAGGGGGCAAGCGUUAUCCGGAUUUACUGGGUGUAAAGGGAGCGUAGACGGCAGCGCAAGUCUGAAGUGAAAUCCCAUGGCUUAACCAUGGAACUGCUUUGGAAACUGUGCAGCUGGAGUGCAGGAGAGGUAAGCGGAAUUCCUAGUGUAGCGGUGAAAUGCGCAGAUAUUAGGAGGAACACCAGUGGCGAAGGCGGCUUACUGGACUGUAACUGACGUUGAGGCUCGAAAGCGUGGGGAGCAAACAGGAUUAGAUACCCUGGUAGUCCACGCCG